UGGGGACAAUUCCUUGAUUCCGGGGCGGCUCCGCUGCUGUUUUCAGUCCACGAGGGGAGCCCGAAAUUUUGGGGAGGAUUCCCUGAUUUUGAGGAAGGUCUGCUGCCAUUUUCACUCUUAUUUUGGGGCAAAUUCCCUCGUUCUGGUGUGCCCCUGCUGCCGUUUUUGCUCUUAUUUUUGGGGCAAAUUCCCUCGUUCCAGGACAACCCUGCCGCUGUUUUCACUCUUAUUUUGGGGCAAAUUCCCUUGUUCUGGGGCAACCCCGCCACCAUUUUCACUCUUAUUUUGGGGCAGAUUCCCUCGUUCUGGGGCGCCCCCACUGCUGUUUUUGCUCUUAUUUGGGGGACAAUUCCCUCGUUCUGGGGCAGCCCCGCUGCCGUUUUCGCUUUUAUUUUGGGGACAAUUCAUUUUGGGGAGGCUCUGCUGUGGUUUUCAGUCUGCGAGGGGAGCUCCCAGUUUUGGGGAGGAUUCUUUGAUUCUGGCGAGGUUCUGCUGCUGUUUUCAGUCCGGGAAGAGAGCUUGGAAUUUUGGGGAGGAUUCUUUGAUUCUGGUGAGGCUCUGCUGCCGUUUUCACCCCUACUUUGGGGCAAAUUCCCUUGUUCUGGGGAGAUUUCUCUCAUUUUGGGGAGGCUCUGCUGGUUUUCAGGAGGCGAGGGGAGCUCUCAAUUUUGGGGAGGAUUCUUUGAUUCUGGUGAGGGUCUGCUGCCGUUUUCAGCCCUACUUUGGGGCAAAUUCUCUCAUUAUGGGACAACCCCGCUGCCGUUUUCACUUUUAUUUUGGGGACGAUUCAUUUUGAAGAGGCUCUGCUGUGGUUUUCAGUCUGCGAGGGGAGCUCUCAAUUUUGGGGAGGAUUCUUUGAUUCUUUUAUUCUGGUGAGGGUCUGCUGCCGUUUUCAGUCUCACUUUGGGGCAAAUUCCCUCGUUCUGGGGCAACCCCUCCACCGUUUUCGCUCUUAUUUUGGGGCAGAUUCCCUUGUUCCGGCGCACCCCCGCCGCCGUUUUCGCUCUUAUUUUGGGGCAAAUCCCCUCGCUCCGGGGUUGCCGGGGGGGGCAGCUCGAAGGCGUAGGCGAUGAUGUCGGCGCAGCGCAGCAGCGCGGCCGCCUGCAGCCCCAGGGGGGUGCGCAGGGCGUCCACCUGGAAGGCGAGGGGGGCGGCGUCGGCGGCCGCCACCACGGCCCCCACCCGCACGCGCUCGUGCAGGGCGAAGCUCACCGGCAGCCCCCGCAUGGCCGCCAGGCUCCGCAGGUAGCGGCGUCGCAGGGCCGCCCGCGCCGCCUGGGGGGGGGACGAGGACGGUUUUUGUCCGUCCGUCGUCCCCCCCCCCCAGCAGCAGGGCGCGGAAGCGGGGCGACGCGGGGCUGAAGCCGCGGCUCGAGCCCUCGGGGCCGUGCGGCAGGCGCAGGACGCUCACCGGUACCGCCAUGGGGGGUGGGG
rnacentral:lncRNA from 1 species